UACGAAGGGGGCUAGUGUUGCUCGGAAUCACUGGGCGUAAAGGGUGCGUAGGCGGGUCUUUAAGUCAGGGGUGAAAUCCUGGAGCUCAACUCCAGAACUGCCUUUGAUACUGAAGAUCUUGAGUCCGGGAGAGGUGAGUGGAACUGCGAGUGUAGAGGUGAAAUUCGUAGAUAUUCGCAAGAACACCAGUGGCGAAGGCGGCUCACUGGCCCGGUACUGACGCUGAGGCACGAAAGCGUGGGGAGCAAACAGG
rnacentral:rRNA from 1 species